GACGAACGCUGGCGGCGUGCCUAAUACAUGCAAGUCGAACGCAGUGGGGACGGGUGAGUAACACGUGGGUAACCUCCCAUCAGAGGGGAUAACACUUGGAAACAGGUGCUAAACCGAUACUGAUGGAUGGACCCGCGGUGCAUUAGCUAGUUGGUGGGGUAACGGCUCACCAAGGCCAUGAUGCCUAGACGGCCUGAUAGGGAGAUCGGCAAAACGGGGACUUAGAAGCGGCCCAGACUCCUACGUGAGGCAGCAGUAAGAAAUCUUCGGCAAUGGACGAAGGUCUGACCGAUCAGAGCCGAGUGAGUGAAGAAGGUUUUCGGAUCGUAAAACUCUGUUGUUAGAGAAGCGGUAUCUAACCAGAGGGCCACGGCUGACUACGUGCCAGCAACCGCGGUAAUAC
rnacentral:rRNA from 1 species